GGUAGUGCAGUGGUUAAAGCACUUGGCUGCUAACCAAAAGAUUGGCAGUUCGAACCUGCCAGCCA
rnacentral:tRNA from 1 species